UACGGAGGGUGCGAGCGUUAAUCGGAAUUACUGGGCGUAAAGUGUGCGCAGGUGGCUGAGCAAGUCGAGUGUGAAAUCCCCGGGCUUAACUUGGGAAUUGCGCUCGAAACUACUUGGCUCGAGUGUGGCAGAGGAAGGUGGAAUUCCAGGUGUAGCGGUGAAAUGCGUAGAGAUCUGGAGGAACACCGAUGGCGAAGGCAGCCUUCUGGGCCAACACUGACGCUCAUGCACGAAAGCGUGGGGAGCAAACAGGAUUAGAUACCCCCGUAGUCC
rnacentral:rRNA from 1 species